ACACACACAUCACAGAAAACACACACUGAAAACACUGCUGGAAAUUCCGUCUCCACCACAAAUAAUAACAAAAGCACAUGUUACCUUUUUUUUUUUUUUUUUCUCUUCAGCUUGCAUCAGAAAGAGAAGGACAAAGGAAAAGAGUAAGCAUCCAGGACGCUGUGAGCCAGAAGAAGAGAAUAAAAACCAGCAGGGUGCGAGCCGGAUACUUGUUCAUCAGCACCUUGAGUACGAAGCGGAAGGACGGCCCGGUGCACCAGGUACAGGCGCAGGAACAUCAGCACCGACAGCAGCAGCUCCAAAUCGGCGAGGGUCGUAUUGUGAUGGUUGGAGUCACACAGUGGAGGUGAGAAAGACGAG